GAAGGCAGAAAUCAAAAUGUAAAAAAAUAUAUUAAUAGAAUACGUACCUGUAGUGGUGUGGCUUUACAUUUAGGACAUGUGUUGGUCUACUAAUUAGAAUUUAGGUACGUAAUCCAAAUUCUCUAUGUUUUAGAUUAAGAGAUAUUAAUCUAAGGAAGACACGCAACCCAUGUUCCAUUCCUGCAUAUUACUGUUCUUCUACUAAAAAAUAUUAGGAAGAAAGAAAAGAAAAUAGAACUUGAAUCUCUGUGAUUAAAAAAAGUACUAAAUGAAAAAUCUGAAAAAGCUCUCACAAAAUAAUUCGAACACAGAAAAAACGCAGUAAAUGCAAAUUUGAACACACCACUUAUUACCCAAAAAAGCUUCCUUUCUUUUUUCCUUCGCAGGACACAGGACAAAAAACUUUCACUUUUUUAAAUAUAUAUAUGCAAUAAUUAUGAAAAAUAAAAUGCGUACUAUCUCUCUCUCUUUCUUUUAUAUUAAUCUGCCAAAAUAAAAUUAUAUAUAUGAAUAAAUAAAAAAGACACGAUUCUGUGAUUGCAAAUCGCAUCUCUGCCAUUCUUCCUCUUCUUUCUCCUCUGCCAAAUUUCUCCAAAAGUAGUAUUUCCGAUUUUCUACUUUUCUGUACAAAUCAAAAACCCUCCGUUCUUUUUCCCUUUCAUUCAUAAUAACAUACUCUAAAUUAACAGUCCCAAAAUACCCUCUGUUUUUCACAAUCACAAAAGAAAAAAGAAAAAAAGAAAGAAAAAGAAAACCAUGGGUAUUUUUGGGAAAAAGAAGUAACAAAAAACACAAAAACUAUUGUACUAGUUAUGCAGAGGAUCGGGGCAGCUGGGGACCGUUCGUUUGUUCUCUUCAAACUCUCUUGAACCCAAACUUCUUCUUCCAUUGAAAUACUUCUCCUUGCUUCCGACAGCCCCCAUAUCUGGAUUUUCCCUUUCCCGUAACGAUCUAGCGAUAGUUCUGGCUGCUUGGUUGCCGACCACCACCCAGAUGAAGAAAAACAUUAUGAAGAAAUAUGAGAGAAGUCGCCGCCGACGUGAGGGAGUGGCGCUGCCGUCGUACAUUGCAGGAAAACCCACCAUUGGGAUUGUUUCCUUUUGGAAUGGUUAAUGGGAUUUGGAUUUGAUGAUAAUUUAUAAAUUAUGGAUGGAGCUUGAUUCAGAAAGUUAUAUGGGCAAUUGAGUUGACGAUUAACGGCUAGAGAGAGAAAGAUGGAGACAGAAAGAGAGAGAGAGUGUUUGAGGGGGGGAGUAGUGACCCCAUGUGAAGGCAGUAAAAUAGAAAUAUAAGGGACCCUCUCUACACCUAUGUUCUUUUCUUAAAAAAAAAAAAUCAACUACAUUAUUUACAAUUUUGUAUUAAUUAAAAUUUUUAACCAACAAGCUGUUUAGACAUUUGUACUGAUCUUGACUUUAUGUUCUAUGUAAAUAAAUAAAGACUCAUAAUUUCACAAAUUUAACCCACAUCUAACCAAAUCUAUAGACUUUACUUGCAUUGCAUUUAAAAACAUACGAUACGUACAUUUACUUUAAUAUCGUUAAUUUUGUUAAUCAAUA
rnacentral:lncRNA from 1 species